rnacentral:piRNA from 1 species
UGCUGAGAGUGUCUAAGGAGAGCCGGGA